GGAGAGGUGCGAGAGCGGUUGAAUCGGCACGCCUGGAGAGCGUGUGUCUACCUAAAGUGGACCGUGGGUUCGAAUCCCACCCUCUCCG
rnacentral:tRNA from 1 species